rnacentral:lncRNA from 1 species
AUGAGACUAUAAAGUUUUCUAACAGAUAGAUGAUAAAGGAUGAAAUACUUUGAAAUCCAUACAAAUAAAUGAAUGAUAGAGAUUGAAGUACUUCGAGAUUUGUACAAAUAGAUAGAUGAUAGAUGGAGUGCUUUGUGAUCUAUGCAGGCAGAUGAAUAACUCAAAAUAAAGUAUUUUAAGAUUUAUGCAAGUAGAUAGAUAAUAGACUACGAAGUGCCUUAAGAUUUGUAUGAGAAAUGGAUGAUAGAGGGUAGUAGUAUUUCCAUAUAUUUUUUUUAGUUCUGGAGAGCAUGAUGAAUGAUGCAUAUCUCCAAUUUGAAUAUCUCAAUUAAUAUUGAUUUAUAAAUAAUUAAUUUUUUAUAAAAAAGAAUGAAAACUUAGUGUGUAUUUUAAUAUUAAAUCAAUAUUAAAAUCAAUAUUAGGACAAAUGACAAGUGCCAUCAUGAACCUUCGUAGCUAGAAACUCUAUAUCUGGUUAACCAAUGUCGAGUGUAGAAGCAAGGCGAUGGUAAACAAGUCAGAUCAUGAUGGUACUCAUCCUAAUUUGGUUCAGGGAUCCUCUGUAAUAUGCAUGUGAUGCCGUAGAGUGCUAUGUAUUUUGAUAUUAUGCAUGCGAUCCUCUAUAAUAUGCCAUAGAGUGCGAUAUAUUUUGAUAUUAUGCUGUAUAGUGCAAUCCUCUGUAAUAUGCAUGCGACGACUAUCAAGCAACCCGUACCAUGCAUGACAUGUCUUACAUUUGUGAAUUGCCUUAUUUGAUGGCUAUCCAUCUUUUGAUACUAGCCAUUCAUGACUGUAUAGCACUUUACAAUGUCACUGCGCACCAUGAAGGAUCCCUACUCCAAAUUAGGAUGAGUAUUAUCAUGACUGGCUUGUUUAUCAUCAUAUGGUUCUUACACCUCAUAUCUUGUUAUCGGAUCUAGAAGAUUCUUGUUGGGAUGG